GACGAAGGUGGCGAGCGUUGUUCGGAAUCACUGGGCUUAAAGCGCACGUAGGCGGUCCUCCAAGUGCCUUGUGAAAUCCCCCGGCUCAACCGGGGAAUUGCUCGGUAGACUGUUGGACUUGAGGCAGGUAGGGGCGAGUGGAACUCUUGGUGGAGCGGUGGAAUGCGUAGAUAUCAAGAGGAACGCCGAAGGUGAAGACAACUCGCUGGGCCUGUCCUGACGCUGAGGUGCGAAAGCCAGGGGAGCAAACGGG
rnacentral:rRNA from 1 species